rnacentral:rRNA from 1 species
GACGAACGCUGGCGGCGUGCCUAAUACAUGCAAGUCGAGCGCAGGAAACUGACGGAACUCUUCGGAGGGAAGGCAGUGGAAUGAGCGGCGGACGGGUGAGUAACACGUAAGGAACCUGCCUCAAGGAUUGGGAUAACUCCGAGAAAUCGGAGCUAAUACCGGGUAGUUCAACGGACGCAUGGUCCGCUGAUGAAAGGCGCUUCGGCGUCACCUUGAGAUGGCCUUGCGGUGCAUUAGCUAGUUGGUGGGGUAACGGCCCACCAAGGCGACGAUGCAUAGCCGACCUGAGAGGGUGAUCGGCCACACUGGGACUGAGACACGGCCCAGACUCCUACGGGAGGCAGCAGUAGGGAAUCUUCCACAAUGGACGAAAGUCUGAUGGAGCAACGCCGCGUGAGUGAUGAAGGUUCUCGGAUCGUAAAACUCUGUUGUAAGGGAAGAACACGUACGAGAGGAAAUGCUCGUACCUUGACGGUACCUUACGAGAAAGCCACGGCUAACUACGUGCCAGCCGCCGCGGUAA